ensembl:lncRNA
AGAGACCCUGAGAGUGACACACAGGGAACUGUAGAGGACGGUGGGGCAGUAGAGAGAACAGGCACAGAGAUCCUGAGAGUGACACACAGGGAACUGUAGAGGACGGUGGGGCAGUAGAGAGAACAGGCACAGAGAUCCUGAGAGUGACACACAGGGAACUGUAGAGGACGGUGGGGCAGUAGAGAGAACAGGCACAGAGAUCCUGAGAGUGACACACAGGGAACUGUAGAGGACGGUGGGGCAGUAAAGAGAACAGGCACAGAGAUCCUGAGAGUGACACACAGGGAACUGUAGAGGACGGUGGGGCAGUAGAGAGAACAGGCACAGAGAUCCUGAGAGUGACACACAGGGAACUGUAGAGGACGGUGGGGCAGUAGAGAGAACAGGUACAGAGAUCCUGAGAGUGACACACAAGGAACUGUAGAGGACGGUGGGGCAGUAGAGAGAACAGGCACAGAGAUCCUGAGAGUGACACACAGGGAACUGUAGAGGACGGUGGGGCAGUAGAGAGAACAGGCACAG